rnacentral:rRNA from 1 species
ACGAACGCUGGCGGCGUGCCUAAUACAUGCAAGUCAACGGUCUUUCUAUGGAAGCUUGCUUCCACUGAGAAGAUAGUGGCGAACGGGUGAGUAACACGUGGGUAACCUGCCCAUAAGAGGGGGAUAACAUCCGGAAACGGGUGCUAAUACCGCAUAGUUUUCUUGAUCGCAUGAUUGAGAAAGGAAAGACGGCCUUUGUGCUGUCGCUUAUGGAUGGACCCGCGGCGUAUUAGUUAGUUGGUGAGGUAACGGCUCACCAAGACGAUGAUACGUAGCCGACCUGAGAGGGUGAUCGGCCACAUUGGGACUGAGACACGGCCCAAACUCCUACGGGAGGCAGCAGUAGGGAAUCUUCCGCAAUGGACGAAAGUCUGACGGAGCAACGCCGCGUGAGUGAAGAAGGUUUUCGGGAAUCGUAAAACUCUGUUGUCAGAGAAGAACAAGUUGGAGAGUAACUGCUCCAGCCUUGACGGUAUCUGACCAGAAAGCCACGGCUAACUACGUGCCAGCAGCAGC